rnacentral:rRNA from 1 species
GAGAUUGGGAGUGCUCGAAAGAGAACCUGCACACAGGUGCUGCAUGGCUGUCGUCAGCUCGUGUCGUGAGAUGUUGGGUUAAGUCCCGCAACGAGCGCAACCCUUGCCAUUAGUUGCUACGAAAGGGCACUCUAAUGGGACUGCCGGUGACAAACCGGAGGAAGGUGGGGAUGACGUCAAGUCCUCAUGGCCCUUAUAGGUGGGGCUACACACGUCAUACAAUGGCCGGUACAGAGGGUAGCCAACCCGCGAGGGGGAGCCAAUCCCACAAAGCCGGUCGUAGUCCGAAUCGCAGUCUGCAACUCGACUGCGUGAAGUCGGAAUCGCUAGUAAUCGCAGGUCAGCAUACUGCGGUGAAUACGUUCCCGGGCCUU